GAUGAACGCUAGCGGCAGGCUUAACACAUGCAAGUCGAGGGGCAGCGGGAUGUAGCAAUACAUUGCCGGCGACCGGCGCAAGGGUGCGUAACGCGUGAGCAACAUGCCCGUCACAGGAGGAUAAACCAUGGAAACGUGGUCUAAUACUCCAUAGUAUGUUUUGGAGGCAUCUCUAGGACAUUAAAGCUUCGGUGGUGACGGAUUGGCUCGCGUGACAUUAGCUAGAUGGAGAGGUAACGGCUCACCAUGGCGACGAUGUCUAGGGGAACUGAGAGGUUAAUCCCCCACACUGGUACUGAGACACGGCCCAGACUCCUACGGGAGGCAGCAGUGGGGAAUAUUGGGCAAUGGGCGCAAGCCUGACCCAGCAACGCCGCGUGAAGGAAGAAGGCUUUCGGGUUGUAAACUUCUUUUGUCAGGGACGAAUAAAUGACGGUACCUGACGAAUAAGCCACGGCUAACUACGUG
rnacentral:rRNA from 1 species